rnacentral:pre_miRNA from 1 species
AGUGGAAUUGCUGGGUCAUAUGGUAACACUGUUGAAACUUUUGAGAAAUUGAGAGACUUUUUUCCAAAGUGGCUGCACCAUUUUACAUUCCUACCAGCAAU